rnacentral:lncRNA from 1 species
GUCCACUUCACUGGUAUCCCAUCUUGUUUGCCUUUUAAUGUAUGAUUUAAAGCCUAAAGAUAUUAUUUAAUUUGCAUAACAAUUGAGUUUCUUUCCCGUUUAAGGGAUUCAACUAUUUUCCUUUUUUUUAAAUUUUACAUGAUUAGAAAGCAUAAUAUUCAGUUUACAAUAACAGAAUUAAAUAUCAGUGGAUAUCCAGAGAGUCAAGCAGGAACAGCUCUUACAAGAGCUUAGUGAUUAUACUGAGGGGAGUAUAGUGAUUAUAGCAAUCCCCAUAGUGUAGUUCUCCAAUCCCCCAAACAUGAGCCGAAACUUCAUGAAGGUGCAAGAUGAUCUGAGAGUUUAAUGCAACUUUUCUGGCCAGAGGAACACCCACUGGACCUGAUGGGGCACAGGACACAAAUUGUACAGAUCAAUAGAAACAAUGUAACAAUGCCUGAUGCUCCCACAUACAACACACAAUCCCUCCCCUCUGCCUGUGAUACAAUUAAAGUAGAUAAUGUAUUAACGUAAUUAUCCCCAAGCAUAAAAAACACAUAUUUUGCAAAGUCUCAUAAGUACCCCAAAAUAAAAUAUAUUCCCAUAUCCCCGAUAGCCCUUAUCUGGGUUAACAACAUAUCCAAAAAUCACCCAGAUCAGAGCAUAGGUUCAGGAAAUUCUGUCUGGAGUACAAAAGUACAUACUUCACAUGAACAGAGCCUUUUAAAGUGCAGUGGGCAAGGUAUAUUGCAGGGUCCAUAGUCCUGAGACAAUAAGCUGGCCAGCAAGCCCCUCCAGGAACCCUUGACGAGGUUCAGUUUAUCACAGGGCCAUAAUCACAGGGUAGGAGGCUGGCAAACGAGGUUACUUUCAUCACAGAUCUUCACAGAAAAGUUAGUCUUUGUGACAGACCACCUGGCACCCCGACUGGGUUCCUCGUCAAGCUCGUUUCCUAGCUAUCAUCGGGACACCAGUAGUGAUUUAGGCCCUAGCUGCCGCAGCUUGGCGGGGGGUCUCUUCAUUGCUUCCCACCCUGGAACAGAGUCCUGGGUACAGCUCCAAGUGAUUAAGCUCUCCUGCAGAGAGUAUAGUUGAUCCACCCAAACACUAGAGUGAAGGGUAGCCAAGUUGCCCCCGAGCUGGGGGUCUCCACAAAUUACAAUGCAAGCCCCUCCCAAAGAUCUCUGUGCUUAGGACAUUAUUGAGUUAAAGAUUGGUAAGCUAAUUAUCUCCCAGGACAGAGAGGCAAACACAAAAACAUCAAACAUAAAAAUACCCCAAAACAUUAAAAAAAUAUACAGUAACCCCAUAUAAUAUACAUCCCCAAACAGCCCUGAUCUGAGCAUCCAAGUUCUCCAAAUAGCGCUCAGAUCUAUGCACUGCAGGGGAAAUGCCACCAUGUGAAAGUUCUGACCGGCCGCACACAUGGUACACAUGGCACUCAUGCGAACAGCCACCAAGGAGCUAGCGUUCGGUUCCAUUCGAAUGAAGGGAAAGUGCCAAACCCGUGGCAUCUAGGAAAAGCUUCUAAUGGUGGCUGGGCAGGGUCACUCCCAAACGAGGUUUCAGACCUGAACCAUAGUUGGUGGGCAGGAGGUUAGCUUCAACACUCCUCCAGGAGUUCGUGGCAAACGUCCGAGGAAAAGAGCGUUUGUCACAAUCUUAUAUGUUUAAAACAAUUUGGACUUACCUGACCUUUCUGGGACAUUCGCCAAUAACAUGCUUUUAGGAAGUCAUCGGAGUGGUUAAAAAAUUGUGUCACUCAUUCACUGAAUCUGCAAAAAUACUUUAUUUUAGUGUUUUAUUGGUUCCGUUGU